AGCAGCGUGGCUCAGUGGAAAGAGCCCGGGCUUGGGAGUCAGAGGUCAUGGGUUCGAAUUCCGGCUCUGCUA
rfam:Ornithorhynchus anatinus chromosome 18, whole genome shotgun sequence.